rnacentral:rRNA from 1 species
UACGUAGGGGGCAAGCGUUGUCCGGAAUUAUUGGGCGUAAAGAGCUCGUAGGCGGCUUGUCACGUCGGGUGUGAAAGCCCGGGGCUUAACCCCGGGUCUGCAUUCGAUACGGGCUAGCUAGAGUGUGGUAGGGGAGAUCGGAAUUCCUGGUGUAGCGGUGAAAUGCGCAGAUAUCAGGAGGAACACCGGUGGCGAAGGCGGAUCUCUGGGGCCAUUACUGACGCUGAGGAGCGAAAGCGUGGGGAGCGAACAGG